AAGAUGGCGACCGGCGCACGGGUGAGUAACACGUAUCCAACCUGCCGAUGACUCGGGGAUAGCCUUUCGAAAGAAGGAUUAAUACCCGAUGGCAUAGUUCUUCCGCAUGGUAGAACUAUUAAAGAAUUUCGGUCAUCGAUGGGGAUGCGUUCCAUUAGGUUGUUGGCGGGGUAACGGCCCACCAAACCUUCGAUGGAUAGGGGUUCUGAGAGGAAGGUCCCCCACAUUGGAACUGAGACACGGUCCAAACUCCUACGGGAGGCAGCAUG
rnacentral:rRNA from 1 species